rnacentral:lncRNA from 1 species
UACAAGCACUUUCCGGCAACCGUUUACCCCUUGGCAAUCGCCGUUCUCCACUAGACGGACCACGCCAUUCUUGAAUACCCAAACUCCAGACAUAUUAGUAAUUUGAUGGAGGUAAUUAGAUAGAAGAAAUUAUAUUUGUGGAUGAAAGGUGAAUGAGAAUAUUUCUCUCUGUGUGCAGUUUUGAGAUGGCUUGAAGGGGGAUGGUGUGAGGGGGUUUAUAUAGAGAGAUUUGGUUGCUUAUAAUUAUAUUUGACAGGCCGCUCGUGUGUGUUUGAUGGGUGGGGUAGGCCUUGAUGAGUUCAUAUUGUAUUCGCACAAGGUAAAGCAUUCAUACACAUCAAAUUAAGAAUCUAUAUUAUUAUAUCUAGUUUAAUAUGAUAACGUUAAAAAUAAGGAAAUCAGUAGUCACUUUAUCUCAAUUUAUGUCGUAUCUUUUGAAUUUUAAUAUUCAAGCGAGUUUUAUUUGCAUGAUUUUUGAUCUUUUAUUUAUUGUGUCUUAUAGUAUAUUUUAUAUAGUUUUUAAAUAUAUAAAUUUUAUCUCAAAAUUAAAGAUUGCAAGACCAAAUACGUAUCAAAAUCAAAAGUUCAACUUAUGAAUAAUAAAUUUUUCCACAGGAAUUGAGAUACAUAGAGUAGCUAAAUUUUGCCAGUUAAAUUUGUUAAUAGUAGCCUCUCUGCCUCUUUUGAGGUAGUGGUAUGGACUGCGUACACUAUACCCUUCCCUGACCCUACUAUGUGGGAAUAUAUUGGGUUUGUUGUUGUUGUAAAUUCGUUAAUAGUAAUAAAGUUCUUACAUUUUUGAUAUAUAUAUAUAUAUAUAUAUAUAUAUAUAUAUAUAUAUAUAUAUAUAUAAAAUUGUGUUUCUAGGUGAGAUAGAGUGAAGAACAUGUGGAUGAAAGGUGAAUGAGAAUAUUUCUCUCUGUGUGCAGUUUUGAGAUGGCUUGAAGGGGGAUGGUGUGAGGGGGUUUAUAUAGAGAGAUUUGGUUGCUUAUAAUUAUAUUUGACA